rnacentral:rRNA from 1 species
UCGAGGAUCUUCGGCAAUGGACGCAAGUCUGACCGAGCGACGCCGCGUGCGGGAUGAAGGCCUUCGGGUUGUAAACCGCUGUCAGUUGGGAGGAAAUCACAUGGGGUUCUCUCCAUGUGUUGACCUAUCUUCAGAGGAAGGACGGGCUAAGUUCGUGCCAGCAGCCGCGGUAAGACGAACCGUCCAAACGUUAUUCGGAAUUACUGGGCUUAAAGGGUGCGUAGGCGGCCCUGUAAGUUGGGUGUGAAAUCCCUCGGCUCAACCGAGGAAUUGCGCUCAAUACUGCAGGGCUAGAGGAAGAUAGAGGUGAGCGGAACUUGUGGUGGAGCGGUGAAAUGCGUUGAUAUCACAAGGAACACCUGUGGCGAAAGCGGCUCACUGGGUCUUUUCUGACGCUGAGGCACGAAAGCUGGGGGAGCGAACGG